UAGGUUUUAUCUAGAUCAGAUCGAUCGAUUGAAGAUCUAUUGAUCGAUUGAACGUGAUUUCGAAGUUCAACCUUCUUCAGCUCGGUGAUUCAAUCUCAGAUUCGUUCAGCGAGGAAAGUGAGCACCAUCAUCUACCAAGACUGUGAUUUCUGCACUGCAAUCUGUUUUACAAGAGGAUUUCAAUGCUACUGAGAUUGAGG